rnacentral:rRNA from 1 species
AUUGAACGCUGGCGGCAGGCCUAACACAUGCAAGUCGAGCGGCUGAAGAGAACUUGCUCCUUGAUUCAGCGGCGGACGGGUGGGUAAUGCCUAGAAAUCUGCCUAGUAGUGGGGGAUAGCGUCCGGAAACGGGCGCUAAUACCGCAUUAGUCCUGAGGGAGUAAGUGGGGGAUCUUCGGACCUCACGCUCUCAGAUGAGCCUAUGUCGGAUUAGCUAGUUGGUGGGGUAAAGGCCUACCAAGGCGACGAUCCGUAACUGGUCUGAGAGGAUGAUCAGUCACACUGGAACUGAGACACGGUCCAGACUCCUACGGGAGGCAGCAGUGGGGAAUAUUGGACAAUGGGCGCAAGCCUGAUCCAGCCAUGCCGCGUGUGUGAAGAAGGUCUUCGGAUUGUAAAGCACUUUAAGUUGGGAGGAAGGGCAGUAAGUUAAUACCUUGCUGUUUUGACGGUACCAACAGAAUAAGCACCGGCUAACUUCGUG